rnacentral:rRNA from 1 species
AAAGAUUAAGCCAUGCAUGUCUAUGCACACGCCCUUGAAUGGUGAAGCCGCGAAAAGCUCAUUACAACAGCCAUAGUUUAUUGGAUGUGUACGUUCCUACAAGGACACCUGCGGUAAUUCUGGAGCUAAUACUUGCAAUAAACGACGUCCUUACGGAAGUCGUGCAUUUGUUAGACUAAACCAAUCGGUUCUUCGGAACCGCCAUUUGGUGAACUCUGAAUAACUUAGCUGAUCGCACAGUCUCGUACUGGCGACGAAUCUUUCAAGUGUCUGCCUUAUCAACUUUCGAUGGUAGUUUACACGACUACCAUGGUUGUAACGGGUAACGGAGAAUAAGGGUUCGACUCCGGAGAGGGAGCCUGAGAAACGGCUACCACAUCCAAGGAAGGCAGCAGGCGCGCAAAUUACCCAAUCUCAGCACGAGGAGGUAGUGACGAAAAAUAACGAGGUGGCUCUCUACGAGGUCCAUCAUCGGAAUGGGUACAAUUUAAAUCCUUUAACGAGGAUCUAUUGGAGGGCAAGUCUGGUGCCAGCAGCCGCGGUAAUUCCAGCUCCAAUAGCGUAUACUAAAGUUGUUGCGGUUAAAAAGCUCGUAGUUGGAUCUGCGCUCGGUGAAAGCGGUCGCCCGAUGGGUUGUUACUGCUUCUCCCGGGCUAACCAUUCGGUUUUCCCUUGAUGCUCUUCAUUGAGUGUCCUGGGUGACCGGAACGUUUACUUUGAAAAAAUUAGAGUGCUCAAAGCAGGCGAUUUGCCCGAAUAUUCGUGCAUGGAAUAAUAAAAGAGGUCCUUGUAGCCUUUUAUUGGUUAUCGCUACGAGGAAAUGAUCGAAGGGGACAGACGGGGGCAUUUGUAUUGCGACGUUAGAGGUGAAAUUCUUGGAUCGUCGCAAGACAAACUACUGCGAAAGCAUUUGCCAAGAAUGUUUUCAUCAAUCAAGAACGAAAGUCUGAGGUUCGACAGCGAUCAGAUACCGCUUUAGUUCAGACCGUAAACGAUGCCAUCUGGCGAUCCACCGGCGUUAUGUAUGACUCGGUGGGCAGCCACCGGUAAACCUUUAAGUCAGGUUCCGGGGGAAGUAUGGUUGCAAAGCUGAAACUUAAAGGAAUUGACGGAAGGGCACCACCAGGAGUGGAGCCUGCGGCUUAAUUUGACU